UACGUAGGGAGCAAGCGUUGUUCGGAUUUACUGGGCGUAAAGCGUGCGCAGGCGGUGAUGUAAGACAGAUGUGAAAUCCCCGGGCUCAACCUGGGAACUGCAUUUGUGACUGCACGGCUAGAGUGUGUCAGAGGGGGGUAGAAUUCCACGUGUAGCAGUGAAAUGCGUAGAGAUGUGGAGGAAUACCGAUGGCGAAGGCAGCCCCCUGGGAUAACACUGACGCUCAUGCACGAAAGCGUGGGGAGCAAACAGG
rnacentral:rRNA from 1 species